UCCUCCACCAUGCCAGAAUCCACUUGCAUUUCUGGCAAGAAGGUUGUUUACGCUCAAGGUCUACAGGGAUGGAAGUGGCACCCAGUGAGAGGGCUCUGCCGAUGGAGCUGUGAAGGUGUCGACCUCAUUCUGAUGGGCUUGUUGAGACUGGUCAGCGCCUGGGCAAGAGGGCAGCUGGGAUAUGUCUGUGCCAUGUUUGACCCAUGCUAUUGUUUUUUCCUCCCUUUUUACUUUGUAUCUGCACUCCUCUCCUUCUCUUCCACUCCAUUCCCCUGCCCACCUCCACACUGAAAAUCGAGGCCUUGGGAGGAGAGGUCAAGGGAGGAAAGAAUUCUGGAAAGAAUUCUUCCACACUUUAUAACAAGGAGCCCAGGCAAUAGUAUUUUCCUCCUGCCGCCGGCGGCCAGCCAUAAAAAGGGUUGAUCCAUGAGUUGUUUCUCCAACUCUUCGAGUAGCUCAGUUCAUGGUACUGCUAUAGUUUAGACUAACCCACUCAACAUUGUUAGAAACAUUUAGAAAUGUCUCCCCCUUUGCCACAAUUUCCCUCUCUCUGCCGGUGUCUGCUCUAACAGCUGGAAGAAAUGUCCUUGGCAUUGCCCAGACAGCCUUCACAGCUCCCUCUCACUCUACCUUCUUCCCAGAUCGUGGCUGCUUUUGCCUCCUCUCAUCAUGGCCAGCUUAAUCCUUCCACUUCCCUACUCGCUACUAGGGUGAACUAUCCCUUUCCUGAGCUCUUUACCUCUUAGAGCUUGGUAUCAUUACAUAGCAUGAUCAUCACAUACUAUGUAUGUCUGUGUGUUUGACAUGUGGUUCAUAGCUGGUGAACGGUGCUCUUCGUUUCUAUAGGCAGGUAGGAUGGACGUGCUUCGUAGGGCCUUUCUCCGCAAGCCCUGACAUACACAGCACAGAGAUGGGACAGCCCCCUACUACAUCCUGCCGGAUGUUGCUGGCUUAUUAUUUUAAAAUUAGAAACGCCUACACAGUACCAUAAACCAGUGAUGCCAACGGGAUAUCCAUAAGUUUGUACUCUUGGAAGUGCUAGGGUUGGUUGCAGCCUAAUAUUGAGGAAGAGUUUUGAAAGGCACUGUGACUCGUAGCUUCACACCUGUCUUCUUAAAAGCCUGGCCCUUUCCCGAUUUCAGGUUGACAUGUGCCUCCUGCAGGCACUGGCACUGAGGCCUUACCAGUGACUGUUUCCUUAUUGGUAAGUGUGUUGCUUUCCUAGGUGGAAACUCUCUGAGGAAAAAGAUUCUUUGUAACUCUCUGGCCCCCCAUUGGAUCUAGCAAAGAUAAUUUGGAUGCUAGAUAUUUGCAUACCAG
rnacentral:lncRNA from 1 species